rnacentral:rRNA from 1 species
GACGAACGCUGGCGGCGUGCCUAAUACAUGCAAGUUGAGCGCUGAAGGUUGGUACUUGUACCAACUGGAUGAGCAGCGAACGGGUAAGUAACGCGUGGGGAAUCUGCCUUUGAGCGGGGGACAACAUUUGGAAACGAAUGCUAAUACCGCAUAAAAACUUUAAACACAAGUUUUAAGUUUGAAAGAUGCAAUUGCAUCACUCAAAGAUGAUCCCGCGUUGUAUUAGCUAGUUGGUGAGGUAAAGGCUCACCAAGGCGAUGAUACAUAGCCGACCUGAGAGGGUGAUCGGCCACAUUGGGACUGAGACACGGCCCAAACUCCUACGGGAGGCAGCAGUAGGGAAUCUUCGGCAAGGGACGAAAGUCUGACCGAGCAACGCCGCGUGAGUGAAGAAGGUUUUCGGAUCGUAAAACUCUGUUGGUAGAGAAGAACGUUGGUGAGAGUGGAAAGCUCAUCAAGUGACGGUAACUACCCAGAAAGGGACGGCUAACUACGUG